UACGGAGGGUGCAAGCGUUAUCCGGAUUCACUGGGUUUAAAGGGUGCGUAGGAGGACAGGUAAGUCAGUGGUGAAAUCUCCGAGCUUAACUUGGAAACUGCCGUUGAUACUAUCUGCCUUGAAUAUUGUGGAGGUGAGCGGAAUAUGUCAUGUAGCGGUGAAAUGCUUAGAUAUGACAUAGAACACCAAUUGCGAAGGCAGCUCGCCACACAUAUAUUGACUCUGAGGCACGAAAGCGUGGGGAUCAAACAGG
rnacentral:rRNA from 1 species